rnacentral:lncRNA from 1 species
AGAUGGACGACGAUGGCGGCCGCCGAAACGCCCCGGGCGCACUGAUGGAGGCCGGGCGCGGUGCGGGGCCCGCGGGCAUGGCGGAGCCCGCGGCAGUGCCGCGGGUGCGGGCGGCGCGGCCGGGGCCCCAGCGCUUCCUGCGGCGCAGCGUGGUGGAGUCUGAUCAGGAGGAGCCGCCGGGCCUGGAGGCUGCCGAGGCGCCGGGCGCGCAGCCCCCGCAGCCGCUGCAGCGCAGGGUGCUGCUGCUAUGCAAGACGCGCCGCCUCAUCGCCGAGCGCGCCCGAGGUCGCCCGGCCGCCCCGGCGCCCGCCGCGCCUGCUGCGCCGCCGAGCAACCUUGCCGACCCCGGCCUGGAGCCGGCUGGAGCGCAGGAACCCGGCCCGGACCCCGCGCCCGCUCCCGUGCCCGCCCCCGACGGCGGUCCCCGAGAGGAGACAGCGGCCACGAGGAAGGAGGACACGGGGGCUCCCGAGGCCAGGCCGGAGCUCGGGCGCGCACGCCGGGAGGAGCCCGAGGAGGAGGAAGACGACGAGGACGACCUGAAGGCUGUGGCCACCUCCCUGGAUGGCCGGUUCCUCAAGUUUGACAUUGAGCUUGGCCGCGGCUCUUUCAAGACUGUCUAUAAGGGGUUGGAUACGGAGACCUGGGUGGAGGUAGCCUGGUGCGAGCUGCAGGACCGGAAGCUCACCAAACUGGAGAGGCAGCGGUUCAAGGAGGAGGCCGAGAUGCUGAAGGGCCUGCAGCACCCUAACAUUGUGCGCUUCUAUGACUUCUGGGAGUCCAGUGCCAGGGGGAAGCGGUGCAUUGUGCUGGUGACCGAACUGAUGACCUCGGGGACACUGAAGACGUAUCUGAAGCGGUUCAAGGUGAUGAAGCCCAAGGUUCUACGUAGCUGGUGCCGGCAGAUCCUGAAGGGCCUGCUGUUCCUGCACACCAGGACGCCCCCCAUCAUCCACCGGGACCUCAAGUGUGACAACAUCUUUAUCACUGGGCCCACAGGGUCUGUGAAGAUCGGCGACUUGGGCCUGGCCACCCUCAAGAGAGCAUCCUUUGCUAAAAGCGUGAUAGGUACCCCCGAGUUCAUGGCACCAGAGAUGUACGAGGAGCACUACGAUGAGUCUGUGGACGUGUAUGCCUUCGGGAUGUGCAUGCUGGAGAUGGCCACCUCGGAGUACCCCUACUCAGAGUGCCAGAAUGCCGCCCAGAUCUACAGGAAGGUCACCUGUGGCAUCAAGCCAGCCAGCUUUGAGAAAGUACACGAUCCUGAAAUCAAGGAGAUUAUUGGGGAGUGUAUCUGCAAAAACAAGGAAGAAAGGUAUGAGAUCAAGGACCUGCUCAGCCAUGCCUUCUUCGCGGAGGACACAGGUGUGAGGGUGGAGCUGGCCGAGGAGGACCAUGGCAGGAAGUCCACCAUUGCCCUGCGGCUCUGGGUUGAGGACCCUAAGAAACUGAAGGGCAAGCCCAAGGACAACGGGGCCAUAGAGUUCACCUUCGACCUGGAGAGGGAGACGCCAGAUGACGUGGCACAGGAAAUGAUUGAGUCAGGAUUUUUCCAUGAGAGUGACGUGAAGAUUGUGGCCAAGUCCAUCCGUGACCGUGUGGCACUGAUCCAGUGGCGGCGAAAGAGGAUCUGGCCAGCGCUGCAGCCCCAGGAGCAGCGGGAGCUCGGCAGCCCUGACAAGGCCAGGGGCCCACCCACGCCCCUGCAGGUCCAGGUGACCUACCACUCGCAGGCCGGGCUGCCAGAGUCCGAGGAGCCCGAGGCCGACCAGCACCUCCUCACCCCUGCGCUGCCGGCCAGCGCCACCUCCCUGGCCUCGGACAGCACGUUCGACAGUGGCCAGGGCUCCACGGUGUAUUCAGACUCGCAGAGUAGCCAGCAGAGUGUUGUGCUGGGGUCACUGGCAGACGGAGCGCCACCCCCCUCCCAGUGUGUGUGCAGCCCCCCUGUGAGCGUGAGUGAUGGGCCUGUCCUGCCACAUAGCCUGCCCUCCCUGGGGGCCUACCAGCAGCCUGCCACGCCUGGCCUGUCGGUGGGCUCUGUCCCACCCACCGCCCGCCCUCCGCUCCCACAGCAGCCUUUCCCAGAGCCAGCCAUGAGCUUCGCCCCUGUACUACCACCGCCCAGUGCCCCUGUGCCAACAGGCCCAGGCCAGCCCACAGCCCCUGCCCACCAGCCUUCUCUCCUGACCCAGCCGGUACCCUUGCCGCAGGUCCUGGCCCCACAACCCGUGGGCCCUCUGCAGCCAGCGCCCUCCCACCUGCCUCCGUACCUGGCUCCAACCUCUCAGGUGGUGGCCCCUGCUCAGCUGAAGCCCCUCCAGAUGCCUCCGGCGCCCCUGCAGCCACUUGCUCAAAUCCCCCCGCAGAUGCCUCCACUUCCUGUUGUCCCCCCCAUCGCUCCGCUGGCCACAGUUGACAGCCUCCCCACAGCCCUUCCUGACCUGCCAGCCACCAGUGGGCCCACCGUGCCUCCCCCCUCUCAGUAUUUCUCUCCAGCUGUCAUCUUGCCAAGCCUCCCACUCAGUGCCACCACUGCUCCCCUGCCUGCGUCGCCGGCUCUGCCUCUGCAGACAGUCAAGCUGCCUCACCCUGCUGGGGCACCGCUGGCUGUGCCAUGCCGGACCAUCGUGCCAAAUGUGGCGGCGACUGCCACCGCCAUCCCUCUGCUGGCUGUGGCCCCACAGGGUGUGGCCACCCUGUCCAUUCACCCCACCGUGGCCCAGCUCCCGGCGCAGCCCGUGUACCCAGCGGCCUUUCCGCAGAUGGUGCCCAGCGACGUCCCGCCUUCUCCCCUCCACGCAGCGCAGACUGUGCAGGCUGCCGCUCCCCAGCCGACACCGCCCGUGCUGCCGCAGCCCCACCAGCCGAGUGUUGCCCGCCUCCCGGAGCAGGCUGCUCCGGCUGCCAGCGCUGGAAGCCAGAUCCUGCUUGGCCACCCGCCUACAUAUGCUGUGGAUGUCACCACCCAGGUCGCCACAGUGCCCGCGCCUGCCGCCGUUCUCUCCCCUCCUCUGCCAGAAGUGCUGUUGCCUCCUGCCCCCGAGCUCCUGCCUCAGCUCCCCGGCUCUCUGGCCCCCACAGUGAUGGCGGCUCCUCAGAGCGUGCCUGUCCAGACCGCUGCUCUCCUGCCGCCUGCUAACUUGCCGCUGCCCAGUGGGCCUGGGAUCCCUGGUCCCUGCCCGACCGUUCAGCUGACGGUGGAGCCAGCCCCCGAGGAGCAGGCCUCGCAGGACAAGCAGCCCAGCCUCCCUCAGAGCUGUGAGAGCUAUGGAGGCUCUGACGUCCCUUCUGGAAGAGAGAUGAGUGACAGCUGUGAAGGUGCAUUUGGUGGGGGAAAGCUGGAAGGCAAGGCCGCCCGGAAACAUCACCGCAGGUCCACGCGUGUGCGCUCCCGCCAGGAGAGGGCCAGUCGGCCCCGACUGACCAUCCUGAAUGUGUGCAACACGGGUGACAAGAUGGUGGAGUGCCAGUUGGAGACGCACAACCACAAGAUGGUGACGUUCAAGUUUGACCUGGAUGGGGACGCGCCUGACGAGAUCGCUACCUACAUGGUAGAGCAUGACUUCAUCCUGCAGGCUGAGCGGGAGACAUUCAUUGAGCAGAUGAAGGAUGUCAUGGACAAGGCAGAGGAUAUGCUCAGUGAGGACACGGAUGUGGACCGUGCCUCCGACCCUGGGGUGAGCCCGCCACACCUCAGCACCUGUGGCCUGGGUGCUGGGGAGGAGAAUCGCCAAUCCCAAGCAAACGCCCCAGUGUACCAGCAAAAUGUCCUGCACACUGGGAAGAGGUGGUUUAUCAUCUGUCCGGUGGCCGAGCACCCAGCAGUAGAGGCCCCCGAAUCUUCACCCCCACUUCCUCUGAGCUCCCUGCAGCCAGACACCAGCCAAGAUUCAGCACCCUCUAAAGACCAGCUAUCCUCCAAGGAGAAACCCAGCUUCUCAACUGAUCUGCAGCUUCUGAGCCAAGCAGGCCCCAGGGACCUUCCUGGUGGUGCACCAGCCCCUUUGGUGCCGUCAUCCCCUCCCGUGACUGCUCUGUCCCAAGACAUGGCCCCACCAGCUGCCAGUCCUAAGCUGGAGCCAGCAACGGGGCCUGCCAUGCAGGCCGGGGGCCCAGGAACCCCUCAUGGGCCAGCCAGUGAGCAUAAGACUCCCUGGCCACUAAUGGAGACUCUUGAUGCUCACCUUGUUGCACAGUCCCCUGACAUGGGCCGAGGGCCUUGUGCCCCACCUUUGGAGGCCCCCCUUCACCCCAUGGGUCUGGGGGAUCCUGCCUUAGCCAGAGAGCCCAUCACCAAGGGGGAGCCCCUGCCAGCUUUGGCCCCCACAUCUGCUGCCCCUGGUGGGGCCCCUCAGCCCACUGUGAGCCAGCCCCUUCCCCCACUCCCCACUGUGGUAGGAGCAAUCAGUCUGGCCACUCCCCAGCUCCCCAGUCCCCCGCUGGCACCCACCGGCCCUCCUCAGCCACCUUCAGCCUUGGAGUCAGAUGGAGAAGGGCCGCCCCCAAGGGUGGGCUUUGUGGACAGCACCAUCAAGAGCCUGGACGAGAAGCUGAGGACUCUGCUCUACCAGGAGCACGUGCCCACCUCCUCAGCCUCGGCCGGGACCCCUGUGGAGGCAGGUGACCGAGACAUCACCCUGGAACUCCCAAGAGGGGAUGAGCCCCGUACAGAGGCCUCUGGGGGCAGUCUGGCCGUGCUGCUUCAGCCUGCGUUGGAAAAGUCAGAAAUGGCCCCUGGAUUAGAGGUCACACUGGAGCAGUCCGUGUCCUCGUCAGUGACAGCUGAAUCAUCUUUGAGCCACACGCUUGGCCGUGAGGGAGCACAGGUGGCCUCAGAUUUGCUUGCAGCACCCAGUGCCCCCCAGGAUGUCCCUGCUUCUGCCAUCCCUGCCCAUCUGGAGCCCACAGACCGGACCAGCAGGGUCCCUGGGGAAACCUUGGCCGAGUCCAUGCAGAGCUGCCCGGGGACGUUGAUUGAGGGUGGCCAGGCCAGCCAACCCCAGCCUCACAGCACUCUGGUAUCAGGAUCCCCUCCGAAGUGGCCAGGGCAGCAGGAUGGCAGCUCGCCAGCCAAAACCGUGGGCCGGUUCUCAGUGGUCAGCACUCAGGAUGAGUGGACUCUGGCCUCCCCCAAUAGCCUGCGGUACUCAGCCCCACCUGACGUUUACCUGGAUGAGGCUCCCUGCAGCCCAGACAUGAAGCUGGCUGUGCGGCGGGCACAGACGGCCUCCUCCAUCGAGGUCGGCAUGGAAGAGCCCAUGUCCAGUGACUCUGGGGACGAGUCCCCUCGCGGGAGGCCUUCUGUGCAGAAGCAUGCCUCCCUGCCCAGCAGCAGUGGUGGUGUGGCCAGUGACUUUGUGAAGAAGGCCGCUGCCUUCCUGCAGAGGUCCUCUCGGGCUGGCUCCCCAGGCCUGGAGACACCCAGCAGGAUGGGCGUGAAGGUCCCCACCAUCAGCGUGACCUCCUUCCACUCCCAGUCAUCCUACAUCAGCAGUGACAACGACUCAGAGAUUGAGGAUGCUGAUAUCAGGAAAGAGCUGCAGAGUCUUCGAGAGAAGCAUCUGAAGGAGAUCUCAGAGCUACAAAGUCAGCAGAAACAGGAGAUUGAGGCCCUGUACCGCCGCCUAGGCAAGCCGCUACCCCCCAAUUUAGGCCUCUUCCACACGGCCCCACCCAUCGGCCGCCGGAGAAAGACCAGCAAGAGCAAGCUGAAGGCGGGGAAGUUGCUGAGCCCCCUGGUGCAGCAGCUCAAGGUCGUGGCCUCCAGCACAGGUCACUUGUCAGACUGCAGCAGAGCCCCUCCUGCUAAGGACCCUGCCCAAGCUGGGGCAGGGCCCACAGCAGCUUCAGACCCAUGUGGGAAGGCAGUUCAGACUCAGCAGCCUUGCUCCGUGCGGGCCUCCCUGUCUGCAGACAUCUGCUCCGGCUUGGCCAGUGAUGGAGGCGGAGCGCAUGGCCCAGGCUGGACGGUUUACCACCCAACGUCUGAGAGAGUGACCUAUAAGUCUAGUAGCAAACCUCGCGCUCGAUUCCUCAGUGGACCCGUGUCUGUGUCCAUCUGGUCCUCCACCAGCAGCCUGGUCCCGGGCCCUGAGCCGGGCCCCCAACCUGCCCUGCACAUCCAGGCGCAGGUGAACAACAGCAACAACAAGAAAGGCACCUUCACGGACGACCUGCACAAGCUGGUGGACGAGUGGACAAGCAAGACGGUCGGGGCCACACAACUAAAGCCGUCACUCAACCAGUUGAAGCAGACGCAGAAAUUGCAUGACAUGGAAGCCACAGCAGGCUGGCCCCUGGCCUCUGGCGAGGCACGGGCUAUGAACACCUCUCGAACAGCAAUGGGGAUGCCAUGUCUGGCCCCGGUACCCAGCCCUGUACCCACCGUGGUCAUUCCUGGAGCUGCCUCAGCCCUUCCUGUGCCCAUGCCAGAUUCUGAAAGUGAGAAGCCCGACUGA